rnacentral:tRNA from 1 species
GUAGUGGGGAUUCCGUGGUAGAAUUCUCGCCUUUCAUGUGGGAGACCUAGGUUCAAUUCCUGGCCAGUGCA